GAGAGAAAUAAGCACCUGCCUUGAAUUUUCAUACAGAUAUGGAAUGAAGGGGCAUUUCAUAGCGAAUGGAUGAAGAGAAGAGACCUCCAUCCUGUGACCACUUCGCUUCCUGACCUCUGGUGGCAGCUGCAGGCAUGAAGCACUAACAGGAACACGGGAUCCUUAGUUGUGUUGUUUUUUUUUUUGUUUUUUUUUUUUAAUCUUAAGCUUUUAUUUUGAACUUCGUAAGUCAGUGUAUGCUAAGGAGGGCACUUUAAAGGAAGUUGCAGUUGAACCGUCUGAAUUCAUCUUCUUACUGGGUGGAAAACAGCUUAUUUUGUAAGUCAGAGAUCCAGAAUUCCUUUAGAUUCUCAAGUGAAGCUCCAGUGGAUAUGAUGACCCUUAAUUAUUGAUGUACAGCUCCAGGCUUUCACUACAUGGUCUGAUUUACUUUUUCCAUAAAGUAAGAGCUCUGUAUGUUAACUGUGCAAAAGUCAAUACCUCAUUUAGAACAUGAGUUGGAAAGAGGCAGUAUUUCACACCAGGUAACACUGUGCUGCCACUGUUUCCUUCCCUGCACACCCCUCUUUGGAAGCUCACUUCCCUUCGAGUUAUGUUAUGCUGAAGUGGAAUCUUAAUAUAAGUUCUGCUGCAUUCAUUAUUCACGUCUUUGUUGCU